rnacentral:misc_RNA from 1 species
AAAUUCCAUAGCUCAAUUAAAAAUUACAUGGAAAAGCCUCAAUCUACUGAUUCACAAUAUCUGCAGGACAGACUGAAACUAAAUGAUAAAAAGUGAAGCUCCUCCACUCGCUGCAUUGAUCACAAACCAUGUUUGAAUUAAUAUUGCCCAACAUUAUAAAUUCACAAAAUACUUUGAUAGAGCUUCCGUAAUUACUCUGUUUUAAGUUUGUUUAUGUAACAUAGGAAAGUUAAAUAUGACAAGACAAG